rnacentral:rRNA from 1 species
CCUACGGGGGGCAGCAGUGAGGAAUAUUGGUCAAUGGACGAGAGUCUGAACCAGCCAAGUAGCGUGAAGGAUGACUGCCCUAUGGGUUGUAAACUUCUUUUAUAUGGGAAUAAAACGUUCCACGUGUGGGAUUUUGUAUGUACCAUAUGAAUAAGGAUCGGCUAACUCCGUGCCAGCAGCCGCGGUAAUACGGAGGAUCCGAGCGUUAUCCGGAUUUAUUGGGUUUAAAGGGUGCGUAGGUGGAUUGUUAAGUCAGUUGUGAAAGUUUGCGGCUCAACCGUAAAAUUGCAGUUGAAACUGGCAGUCUUGAGUACAGUAGAGGUGGGCGGAAUGCGUGGUGUAGCGGUGAAAUGCUUAGAUAUCACGAAGAACUCCGAUUGCGAAGGCAGUUCACUGGACUGCAACUGACACUGAGGCUCGAAAGUGUGGGUAUCAAACAGGAUUAGAUACCCGUGUAGUC